AACGAACGCUGGCGGCAUGCCUAACACAUGCAAGUCGAACGAUUGCCUUCGGGUGAUAGUGGCGCACGGGUGCGUAACGCGUGGGAAUCUGCCCUUAGGUUCGGAAUAACAGCUGGAAACGGCUGCUAAUACCGGAUGAUAUCGCGAGAUCAAAGAUUUAUCGCCUGGGGAUGAGCCCGCGUUGGAUUAGGUAGUUGGUGGGGUAAAGGCCUACCAAGCCGACGAUCCAUAGCUGGUCUGAGAGGAUGAUCAGCCACACUGGGACUGAGACACGGCCCAGACGCCUACGGGAGGCAGCAGUGGGGAAUAUUGGACAAUGGGCGCAAGCCUGAUCCAGCAAUGCCGCGUGAGUGAUGAAGGCCCUAGGGUUGUAAAGCUCUUUUACCCGGGAAGAUAAUGACUGUACCGGGAGAAUAAGCCCCGGCUAACUCCGUG
rnacentral:rRNA from 1 species